GCGGCCUAUCAGCUUGUUGGUGAGGUAAUGGCUCACCAAGGCGACGACGGGUAGCCGGCCUGAGAGGGCGACCGGCCACACUGGGACUGAGACACGGCCCAGACUCCUACGGGAGGCAGCAGUGGGGAAUAUUGGGCAAUGGAGGAAACUCUGACCCAGCGACGCCGCGUGAGGGAUGAAGGCCUUCGGGUUGUAAACCUCUUUCAGCAGGGAAGAAGCGAGAGUGACGGUACCUGCAGAAGAAGCACCGGCUAACUACGUGCCAGCAGCCGCGGUAAUACGUAGGGUGCAAGCGUUGUCCGGAUUUAUUGGGCGUAAAGAGCUCGUAGGCGGUUAGUCGCGUCGGAUGUGAAAUCCUAGAGCUUAACUCUGGGCCUGCAUUCGAUACGGGCUGACUCGAGUAUUGUAGGGGAGACUGGAAUUCCU
rnacentral:rRNA from 1 species